UCGAUAGUGGCAUAAUGGAUAAAGCACGAGACUCAUAAUCUUGAGAUCCCAGGUUCAAAACCCGAUAAGUGAA
rnacentral:tRNA from 1 species